UACGGAGGAUCCAAGCGUUAUCCGGAAUCAUUGGGUUUAAAGGGUCCGUAGGCGGUCUUAUAAGUCAGUGGUGAAAGCCCCAUCGCUCAACGAUGGAACUGCCAUUGAUACUGUAAGACUUGAAUGCUUAGGAAGUAACUAGAAUAUGUAGUGUAGCGGUGAAAUGCUUAGAUAUUACAUGGAAUACCAAUUGCGAAGGCAGGUUACUACUAAGUGAUUGACGCUGAUGGACGAAAGCGUGGGGAGCGAACAGGAUUAGAUACCCGGGUAGU
rnacentral:rRNA from 1 species